GUAAAAAUAACAUGUAAUCAUUUAAUACAAUUUCUUCAAAUAAACUUUAUUUGGAGAUAAUGGCUUCCAGAUGGGUGAAGGUUUAUAAACAUCUCUGCCACAAGAUAAAUUCCCACUGGGUAACGGAUGGGAUAAGGGAGUGAGUCAGUCACUGGGUCUGACUGGGAGGUUAGACGUGGGCUCUAGCCCCAAAGCUGAGCAGCAAGAAGGGACUUCUGUCCAUCCAGUUGUUCCUUCUUGCUGUCCAAAACAACGUCGCCUGUUGGGACUCAUAGAAACAUAGAAUGGUUUGAGAUGGGAGGGACCCUUAAAGGCCAUCUGGUCCCACUCCCUGCAGCACACAGGGACACCCACAGCUCCAUCAGUGUUCAGAGCCCCAUCCAGCCAGACCUUGAAUGGAGAAUCCACCACUUCUCUGGGCAACCUGUGCCUGUGCCUUGCCACCCUUGUCGUAAAAAAACCUUUCUCCUUAUAUCCAGCCUAAAUUUCCCCUCUUUUGGUUGGAAACCAUUUCGCCUUGUCCUGUCACAACACACCCAGAUGGUCGCUGCCUUGUGCUACGACCUCCUGAGCUGUGCCUGGGAGGUGUCCAUGAAACGGUCCACUGGUCCAGUCCAAAAUGGAGCCAAAAACAUCCUAAAAAUGAAACCCUUUGGGCGGAGAGCUCUCAUGCUUUGGAACGAUUCCAGCACAGAUACAUUCUACGAGUGACUUUACAGAAGAAUCCACAACCCUUUCUGUAUCAACCGAUACCCUCCUUGAAGCUAUUUUGGAAGCACAUCCAAGCCUUCAGGGCUACAUUAUCACGUCCAGCUUUGCAAAUAUGUAAGCUCACAUAAAGCACCAUCACGGGUGUUUCACACUCAAAGUAAGAACCUGUUCAAGAUGUCCGUGCAGUUUCUCAAUGAAUAGCCCAGCACCUUUUUGGAUGAAAUACUCGCCUGGAUCUCCUUGGAGCCAACGCUGCUAGUCAGGCUGUCAGUGUCACACAUGUAUUUAAUUGCUUUGCUGGGCUGAGGCCCUGCAGAAUCAGCGCGAAGAAUGCGAAGGGAACAACGGCACUUCGCGCUUAAUGUGGGGGGAUUUUGAGUGUUAUUAAUUAUUUUUCGUUUUGCUGGUUAGCAUGGAGAGACAGAGGGCUGAAACACAUCCAGGCAGAAAUCAGCCACAGUUAUUAGUGCCUCAAGUCUUUGUCUUGUAGGCUUCAAGCUGGUUAAAACAACAGAAAAGGGAAAAAGAAAAGCAAGACAUUUUUCAGAUGGAGGCCCCCAAGCUCCAUCAGCUGCAGGUUUGGAGCACCAAGAAUUGCAGAAUCAGUACCGUUGGAAAAGACCACUAAAAGAUCAUCUAGUCCAACCAUCAGCUCACCACCACCUUGCCCACCUAACAAAUAUCAGCCAUUUUCUCCUCCUCCUUAACUGAAGAGACAACAGAGGUUGGGCUAUUUCAUCUGGGGUGAGGUGGGAGACUCGUUCCAGCAGAACGUCACCAGUACGCAGCCUGACCCUGUACUGAAAUUCAAUACCAUACACAGAUCUUCUCAGAAAUGUUAAUUCUUGACCGUAAGAACAGCCGUGGAUGAGGCUCAUUACUGGUGAGACACCAAUGUGUUUCUCAUCAGUUCAUAUUCCUGUCACAUUUAACAACCGUCUAAAGCUAAACCUUCUGUGUUUUUGUCCCAGAUCUUUUGUGAGUGAAUCAGCCUCAUUACUGCCAAGCUGGAUGCCAGGACUUGGGCAGGUGAGAGAAGCCACAAGCCCAACACACUGCCCUUAAAAAAUACAUCCCAGCAGCCCUCUGGAAGUCUUGCUCAACCAGCUCUGCAUGCCUAAAUCACCCCAAGCAUCCUCCUUCACCCUCUGCUAACACGGCAGAUGCUUUUGGAUGCCUUCCCAGUCAAUUCUCAGAAGGUUGGAAAUCUCUGUUUCCCACAUUGUCCCCCCC
rnacentral:lncRNA from 1 species